rnacentral:rRNA from 1 species
GACGAACGCUGGCGGCGUGCUUAACACAUGCAAGUCAAGGAGAAAGUUUCCUUCGGGGAAUGAUUAAACUGGCGCACGGGUGAGUAAUAUAUAAGCAAUCUACCUUUAGAUUCGGAAUAACGUCGAGAAAUCGGCGCUAAUACCGUAUAAUGCAGCGGCAUCGCAUGAUGAUGUUGUUAAAGUUUUCUUAACGUCUAGAGAUGAGCUUGUAUCUGAUUAGCUAGUUGGUAAGGUAAUGGCUUACCAAGGCUACGAUCAGUAGCUGGUCUGAGAGGAUGAUCAGCCACAUUGGAACUGAGACGCGGUCCAG